CGCUUCAUCACUCAUCUUCCGUAGCCACUUUGAUCGGAACGUCACCUGGAAACGUCCCCCCGCGAAAACACCGUGACUCUGCUGCCACCCAUGGCGUGAGUGGUGUAUUGCAUGUCAUGCAUUGCCCGCGACGUUCGCGUAUGCUGUGUAGACUAUGAAAGGAAGCGCGACGCUCGCGUCACUCACGUCGUUUACGCGCGUCGCUCGCGUCGACUAUGUAAGGGCCCUUAAGGCGGCUGCAUGCUUCAGCGUUGGUGUUACGUAGUUGCGCAAAAUUUACUCAAAGCAAUUCAUGCUCCCUUUUAGGUUGCGCGUGUUGCCAAGCAACUUACCGCCAGAACAGUAGGUGGAGUAAUAUGUGGAGGAAAGUUUUUCGUUGAAGACGACCUCGAGAAUGACGUCUUUGUCUGUGGGAGUCGUUGGUUUGUUUAUGUGCCAGAUCGUGUUCUCCCCAUACACAGUGAAUGAUGGCAACAGACAGAGGAACAGGGGUGAUGAAGUUGUUGAUCAUUGGGGUUGUAUAAAUGUGCAUAUCUCUCUACAUUUUAAAACGACAUAAUGUGUUGGCAGCAAAGUUAACUUCACUUCAGGUUAAUGCUUUUGUAUAUGACCUGCCGGGUGAUACUCCAGACAGGAAGUAGUAACCAGACCAGCAAACCAAUCACAGCCUUGGCAGGCGGGGCGGCUCGCGUAAAAGCUUACGUAAAAAAUGACGCAAGUCUAGAAAAAUCGCCCGACGCACGCAAGACGUGAGAAGUCGCGCAAGGGGGGCGCAAGGGCGCGCAAGGGCCUCUUGCGCUUGCGCUUACGCUUACGUAACCGAGCAUAAACCAGCCUUUAGGGCUAACCCUGUAAGCGAAAGACCAACUUCUCCAUAGUAUGGAAAUGGUUUGGAUAUAAGGUGUUUGACGAAUUACAAAAUCACGUAAUUUGUAGAGAGUGCAUAAAAACUGUAAAUACAAGGCGGAGGCGGCGGAGGCAGCGGAGGCAGUGCCUAGUCCACGGUUUGUUCAACCAUCAAACUGUAAUAAAUUCUGAACGGUAGGAAUAGUAAUGGUAAAUCCUAACGGUAGGUAGGUAUGGUAGGUAACUCGACAGUAACUAACUUCAGUUUCUCCCUCCGCGAGACCCAAACAUAAAACAUAAACAAGUAACCUAGCCACGCAGUCGUUACGAUUCAUAAUAUUUCGGAGUCGACACAGCUUUUGGUUUAUUCAACCAUCAAACUGUAUUGAAUUCCGAACGGUAGGAAUAGGUAAAUCGGCGCCCUCAAUAGCGCUACAUUUUACCAGAGCUAUAGAGAUGGCUCUGCAUUUUACCAUGCACUUUUCCGUCUGCUUAACAUGGAUGUAAUGUUAGAUUUAGGAUACCCUAAGCAUAUUCCUCUCAAAUCAUGGCUACUAUGAGGAGGAUCACAGCGUUUAAACCUCUAAAUGGAGCUCCCAAAAUUCCUUGUUCACAUAUUCCUGGAGGACAAGGAAAUAAGAAGAAAAGUAUUUCAACUGAGAUCUGUAGGAGAGCUAGUAGAUGCUUGCAAGUCAGGAACAGGAACACAAUUUUGAAAUUCAAUUCCGACUUCAAUGAAUUCAUAGACACAGACAGCAGUGACAAUAUGGAACACAUGGACAAGUUCCAAGUAUAUUUCAAGUCAUGUGGCUCGUCAGUGUUGGAUCCCAUCGACGUUGAGAAACUGAAAUCCAUACUUGAGAGGAAAGGUGCAAGUGUUCUGGCAGACUAUGAAGCUUCUGGAAUGCUCUCAGAGACUUCAAGAAAGCUCCUUGUGAAAAUGUGUGUCAGUGAUUUGAUUGAGAGAAAGGGAUUUUAUCCACCAACUGAUGACAAAUCCAGAUUGGCUAGGUGUAUGGUUACACUUUUCCCGUCACUGAAAGUCAUAAUGGAAGAUGAGAAUGAAGAAUUAGACACCUGACGGGGAUGCAGGAACUGAACUGAACGCAGGAACUGAACUGACUCAACUGAAAUAAGUGUAAUUCCUGGAUUAGGUGUACGAAUUGCAAAUUGUAUAUAUCAUACUUUGUAGGACAGUUCAAAACGAUUCUGAAAUAUAUGGAAUACCAUGAAUAUUUAAUCUCCACCUCCAGAGAAAACCUGCUGAUAGAUGGCUAUCAAUUUCAAGCAUGUAGGCCUAUUGAUAUAUACAUUAUUUAAAUUAUUUCUAAAAACUGUUUUGUUUUUGCUGUUUUUUUCUGGGAUUCAGGAGCAUUUUUAUGACCCAAUAUCACAUAGUGGAUUCAUUGAGAUGCGGCUUAGGAAUCUCAGGCGCAAUCUUCAUGAUGAUCAACAUCGGUUUCAGCGCAAGCGUAGUCGGCCUACAACAACUAACCCUAGAGCAUCAAUUACAGUGGAGAUGCCUAUAGAAGGGGAGGAGUUGAUAGGUCAGUGUUUCUCCCAGUGCUUUAUAGAUAAGGUGGCUACCUUAACAACACACCCCUGCCACCUUAACUGUACUAAGUUGUUUUCCUCAGACAAUCACCACCUUAACUAAAGCAUUUCCUGUGGGAAACACUGUAGGAGAAUGGAAGAGCAUUAUAAAAAGAAUGAGAGCAUGUCAGGAAAACAUCAGCACCAUCAAAGAAGGCAUGGAAAAAACGUAUGCCAACCGAAGACUGUGGAUUACUGCGGUGGAGGAAAUCUUUGCAGAGUAUCCUCGCUUUGUGGACAUUCCGUACUUGCGAGUGAACCUUCAGGCCUGCCACCAGUUCCUGCGAAUGACGCGUCUUGCUAUAAAGCGCUUCAAAAGCUCAUCCAGUUGCUGCCUCCAACUUCAUCAGGGAGAGGGAAAGGCUACGGCAAAUGCAGUGUAAAGUCAGCUUUGGCCUACCUCUUGGAUAUAAAGCCGGUAGGUUUGUUUCCUUUGUGUACAUUUAUGAUAGGUCUUGUGGAAAUUUUUUCAAAUGAUUUGGGUGUGCAACGCAGUAUAUCCUGUCCAACUGACAUCUGUGUUUCACUUCUUUGAGCAUGUUUACGAAGUGCCCCUCUCCAGUGCGAAGACAGCUAAGGUUGUGGACCUUAUUUCAAAGAUCCAAGCUAUUAAGUAGCCUAACAAAUAAAUAAUAUGUACGUUUGUCCCAAGUGUAAAACUGAUGUGAAAGAUGUCAGAAAACUCAUCCGCCAUCUUAGAAAUGUACAUGCGCUCUCUGAUGGACAAGAGUAUACAAUUGUUUGCAGUCAGAACUUUUGCCAACGAACAUACCAAAACUUCAACUCCUACGCUAGGCACCUAGGCUAAGAGAAACCAUCCCCAGGGUGUACCUAAUUCUCAAACCACAAAUACAAAUUUUAUUGACAUAUCACUGGACUUUUCACCACUGUGCUCUAAUUCAGUUGAUGAGACUCAUGAGACUGAUGAGGACCUUUCACUAGACAGCACUUAAAACUAUCAACAACGCGCGGCAGAAUUUGCUGCAAAAAUAUAUUCAUCUUCUAAUUCCACCCUCAUUGAUGUGCAAAGAAAUAUUACAUGCACUGAAGAGCUACUCAGCAGGGCACUGGAUAGGUUGCAAGAGAAAACUGUAUCUUUACUUAAGUGUCACAUACCUUCUAAUGACAUGGCUGUCCAAAGUCUGAUGGGGGAAUUUGAAACGGGGAGGAAUAUGUUUGAAGGAAUAAAUACCAACUAUAAGAUGACUAAAUAUUUUUCAAUUUUGUGAAUAUUUCAAAAACCUUAUCAUUUAAACACCAAAUGCAACAAAUGUUCAACUGGAAAAUGGGUAGCCCUUUGACCGAUGAAUUGACAGUGUCCGACAGCUCUUCAGUUAUGAUUGGUUCUCUUGAAGAACAUUGCACUUUGCUUGAAAAUCUAAAAAUGAUUGGCCGUGAUGUUACUUUAUGCAGCCGAAUUAAUGUUUCCCAAUCAGUUUCUAUGUUUGGCCAAGAUUAUCAGAUUGGUUGUUGUAAAGUUAUUAUAAAUAAACAACUUUGGAUAUUUUUGAGUAGGUGACUUUAUUUUACCAGCCUUCAUGGUUCUCCCGUUACACUUCUUCUGUCGUUCAGUCUAGCUCCAUCUGAUCUAGUAAUCAACACUGCCACCUAGUGGUCAUAACAUAUAACAUGUAUACAGAACAUGCAUAUCAUUACAUCCUCCUUUCUCUGAGAUUAAAAGUCAAAUAAUAGUAGGCCCAAGGCUAUAUCAAGACUAGACCUGGAAGCUACACCUAAACCCAUUAAAGGGCUACCACACCUAAAGCUUUUCUUACAGGUAAACAAGGUAAACAAUUAAUCCCUUCUUUCAGAUAAGAGGUUUUAGAAAGUAACCUUAAUUGACUGUACUGUGUAAAUUAACUGUACUAUUUUUCUUUCAGGUAAUAGUGGUAAUGAACAGUAAAACCUCUUAUUUCAGGUAACACCAGUAAGUAACGGUAGGUAAUAAAGUCAGUAACAGAUAUGCAACAGUAGCAAUAAACAGUAUAUCCUCUUAUUUCAGGAAACCAAGGCAAUAAACAGUAUUCUUUUAUUUUUAUUUUUUAAUGUUACCAUAACCUUUACUUUAAGACUAUUUUCAGGUUAAGCAACACUCACAUAUGUUAAACACAAAUACUCUCACAAGCCCAUCAUCACUCUUGAUCUUCUAACUCUGCUAGACUUACGUCAGACAGGUGCCCCUGUCUCUGAUGUUGGUGUCUGAUGCUCUGUGGGCUGCACAUCCUGGUGUGCGUCAGGAGGGUUUGUCACUUCUGCGUGUGACUGCUUUCUAAAUGUCUCUUGAGUCCUGAGCAGGCAUCUGCGGUUCCUCCGGAGUACAUGUCCAUCCUCCGUUCUGACUGUGUACGACCUCGGACCGACCUAUUCGAGCACCACUGCUUUUCUGUUCCAUGUGUGGGGCUCUUCGAUUCUGACCACGUCGUGUUCUGAGAGAGGUGUGAGACUCCUGGCCGUCUUGUCAUGAUGCUUUUUCUGUGCCCACUUCAGCUGCAUGUGCUUUUGUGUGUGUACUCUGUUUUUCUUCUUUCUUGGCAUGUGUGGUAAUGUGUUGCGCAGUUUUCUGUUCAUGAGGAGCUCUGAGGGUGAUGCUCACGAUCCCAGAGGAGAGGCCCGAUAGGUCAACAGUGCAAGGUAAGGGUCUGAUUUUGUCUCUGCAGCCUUUUUUAGAAGUCUUUUAACGAUUUCCACUCCUUUCUCUGCCUUACCAUUUGCCUUUGGAUAGAGAGGGCUCGAUGUAGUGUGUUGGAACCCAUACUCCUCUGCAAACAUUUGAAACUCUUGGCUGCUAUACUGCGGACUAUUGUCACUUUGGACUAUCUGGGGAAUGCCAUGUCUGCCAAAGAUGCUUUUCAUGUGAGUUAUAACAGCACUGGCAGAUGUGCGGUUCAGUUAUGCUACUUCAGGAUAGUUUGAGUGAUAUCAAUCACUAAGAGAAAGUUUCCAUUUACAUGAAAGAGAUCUGUUCCAACUUUUUGCCAUGGCUCAUUCGGCAUUUCUGGGAUCAACAUUGGCUCAUUGGCUUGCUUGUAUCCGUCUUUGGCAUGUAUCACACUUACUAAUCAGUGUCUCAAUGUCUCUGUUUAUACCUGGCCAGUAGACCGCUUCCCGUGCCCUUGCUCUGCAUUUUUCUACGCCAAGGUGCCCCUCGUGGAUUCUGCUGAGCAUAUCUUUCCGUAUAGAUGCUGGGAUGAUGAUCCUAUUUUGUCUCAGCAGUAGGCCGUUUGCCACACUC